CGUUACUCUACCCGGUCCCUCAUCCCCGUAAAACCCUCUCUCACUCACUCUGUUCCACACCACUCUAAAACAAAGCUUCCAACUCUUUCAGCUCAGAAAAACCAAAAACCUCCACACAGCUCAGCCAUGGCGGUGUUGGGAUUCCUCAUUUUCUUCCUCACGCUCUUAUCGACCUCCUUCCCCACCGAAUCCAGACUCUACACUAACUUCUACGACAAGUCGUGCCCGAGAUUCACCCAGAUUGUCCAGGACAUUGUCACCAACAAGCAGAUCUCCACCCCACCACGGCCGCCGGAACCCUCCGCCUCUUCUUCCACGACUGCAUCCACAACGGCUGCGACGCCUCCAUCCUGGUCUCCUCCACCCCCUUCAACAAGGCCGAGCGCGACGCCGACAUCAACCUCUCCCUCCCCGGCGACGCCUUCGACGUCGUCGUCCGCGCCAAGACCGCCCUCGAGCUCGCCUGCCCCAACACCGUCUCCUGCGCCGACAUCCUCGCCGUCGCCACCCGCGACCUCGUC
rnacentral:lncRNA from 1 species